UGCCCUGCCUCUUUCGGUUACCAUUUAGCCCAACGAACACACCACUGAUGAUCCCUCUUUUAUGUUUUUUUAAGAACAAGAAAGAGCACUUGGCAUCGUACAGGACGAGAAGACUCAGAUACAUGGCGAGACAUGCACGAACACUAUUAACAUUUAUUAUUUAUUAAACAUGAGCGAGCGAGCGAGCGAGCGAGACCUCUCUCCCUCUCCUCUUCUUCUCCAUCUUUUCUCAACUCCUCUAGUUCUUGCAGAUUCAUUCAUUCAUUCUUAAUAGCACGUACUUUUCUUUUCUUAAAAAAAAUAAACUCUCAAUCUCUCUCUAACAUGGAGUAUACUAUUAAUAACAACAGAUAGAUUGAGAUAGAAGAAAUUAAGAGAGGAAAACACAUGACGGGGUCAGCUUCAUUGUCAUCUCCGCUGUGCACGUGGCUGUUCGCGGCUUGCAUGUCGGUCACGUGCGCUAAGGAAAGCGCACACCCGUUGUCUCCACCGUCGUAUAAUUCUAGUCGCAGACGGAAGGCUAAGUCGGCUGCUCUUCCUAUGAAAUGCUGCAGCAGCAGCAGCAGCAGCAGCAGCGGUAUUAGGGGAAUAGUCCAUUCUUCUCCUUCAAAUGACAACACUAACAAUAAAAGUACGUUGAGUUUUAAAGGAUUAAUGAGCUCUUGUUUGGCUGAUGAACCUUGUAGCAGUUACUACGCUUCUGGUGGACUCUUGAGACGACGACUCAGUCCCCCCGCUACUUCCGGGCAAGCCAUGGCUGUAGCUGUGCAACCUACAAGGGAAGUGGAGACAAAAAAGAAACCACUUACGAGGCAAAGGCGAGUAGUUGUGACAGGGAUGGGUGUGGUCUCACCUCUUGGUCAUGAUCCAGGUGUCUUCUACAAUAAUCUUCUCCAAGGUGUAAGCGGUGUGACUCGGAUAGAGGCUUUUGACUGUGCUCAAUUUCCCACGAGAAUUGCUGGAGAAAUCAAGUCUUUCUCAACUGAUGGAUGGGUUGCUCCAAAAUUGUCGAAGAGAAUGGAUAAAUUCAUGCUUUACAUGCUUACUGCUGGCAAAAAAGCCUUGGCGGAUGGAGGGAUUACUGAGGAUGUGAUGGAUGAAUUGAAUAAAACGAAGUGUGGAGUUUUGAUUGGCUCAGCAAUGGGUGGGAUGAAGGUUUUCAAUGAUGCAAUUGAAGCUUUAAGGAUCUCAUACAAGAAGAUGAAUCCUUUCUGUGUUCCUUUUGCAACUACAAAUAUGGGUUCUGCCAUGCUUGCAAUGGAUCUGGGAUGGAUGGGACCAAAUUAUUCAAUUUCCACUGCUUGUGCAACCAGCAACUUUUGUAUAUUGAAUGCAGCAAACCAUAUCAUUAGAGGCGAAGCUGAUGUUAUGCUUUGUGGUGGCUCUGACGCAGCAAUUAUUCCUAUAGGGUUGGGGGGUUUUGUGGCAUGCAGAGCACUUUCUCAGAGGAAUGAUGAUCCAACAAGAGCUUCACGGCCUUGGGACAUGAAUCGGGAUGGAUUUGUCAUGGGGGAAGGAGCUGGUGUUCUGCUUCUAGAAGAAUUAGAACAUGCUAAGAAAAGAGGUGCCAAUAUCCAUGCAGAAUUUCUUGGAGGGAGCUUUACAUGUGAUGCCUAUCAUAUGACUGAGCCACGUCCUGAUGGGGUUGGUGUGAUUCUCUGCAUAGAGAAGGCAUUAUCACAGUCUGGGAUAUCCAAAGAGGAUGUGAAUUACAUAAAUGCACAUGCUACAUCCACACCGGCAGGUGACCUCAAAGAGUAUCAAGCUCUCAUGCAUUGUUUUGGCCAGAAUUCUGGUUUGAGGGUGAACGCAACAAAAUCCAUGAUUGGUCACUUACUGGGAGCAGCUGGUGCUGUGGAAGCCAUAGCCGCAAUACAGGCAAUACGGACAGGAUGGGUUCAUCCAAAUAUCAAUCUAGAAAAUCCAGAUCAAGGCGUGGACACGAGUGUAUUAGUGGGCCCGAAGAAAGAGAGACUAGACAUUAAGGCUGCGUUAUCUAAUUCAUUUGGGUUUGGUGGCCACAACUCAUCGAUCAUUUUUGCCCCAUUCAAGUGAACCGGAGCUGCUUGAAGUUGUCAAGGUUUAUUGAUCCGAUGGAAUUCUGUCGGAUAAGUUUUGGGAUGGAUAAACAACUGCAAUACUCGUAUCACAAGCAAGCAAGCAAGAAUGUUCCAUAUUGGCACCCACAAAUACUAGCGUGCUUUCAACUCGGAUGUUUAGGCAGGAGGAAAUGCGAGUGCUGAUAACUGCUUGUACUCCCUGGAAAACCCAACUUUUCAUUGACGAGCUUACAACCAAAGCGCAGAUCGUUUCCUGAUAUAUCAAUCUACACAGGUUUUUCACCUGCUCUUUCUUUUGCUGCCUUUCUUCUGACUAUUAAAAUUGAUGAGCUUCGUGGACAGCGCAGUUGAAGCACUCUUGCCCUCAAGCUUCUUGGCCAUUUUUACAGCCCUGGCCAUCCCUUUCCUCGCAGCUGCUCGAUGCUCUGGUCUACGGCUCAUCAUCUUGCGAUCUAAUGGCCAAUAUGCAUAUGGCUCAAGCUUGUCCUUCCUUCUCAUAUCCCCACUAGCUUUCUUGCUAGCAUAUUCAUUUCCAGUGUAAGCCCACCCAGAAUCUGAAGUUUUCCUGCGCUUCUGAGUUUUCCUGGAGUUCACAGACUUGAAACUGCCUGCUUCACUCCUCACAUCUGAAUCAGGGUGCGCAGAUGAUUGCAAGGAUGAUCGUGUUUUGUGCUGAUCAAGCAAGUCAAGUGGCUCAUCUUCUAACUAGUCAAACAAGUCUUCUGGCAAACUCUUGUCUGACCUGUGUAUUCUUUUAGGAUUGGAAAAUUUUGGGUACAUAUUUAUGCAAUCUUAGAUUGUUUUGUGCCAGUAAUUACAAAUAGAUAUGCUGCACCAUCCAAUCAGAUUCACCAUUCAGUAGUUGAACUGUUUA